CAAGCACCUAAACCCAAGAACUGCUGUUUCUUGUAACAGCAGUUUAAACAGAGGUGCUGAUAGCAAGCGGAUCUCGUCGCCUUUGGGGGCUAUUCUGUGCCCCUUAAAGUGAAUUUGGAGGUUCUACACUC
rfam:Pteropus alecto contig2227, whole genome shotgun sequence.